rnacentral:misc_RNA from 1 species
CUAACAUGUUAUCUGGCGAUACAGUUCAUUCACCAGACUUAGCUGUUGUUGCAAACAUACAGCAUUUAAAAGUGCGUCCAAGCCAAAUGCCAACGAUACUUAAAUUGUAGCAUGUCCCGAGUUCUAGCAGAACAGACCCUUGACUGAAGUAACGCAGAAGACUGGAGAGAAUCUGUCAUAUCUACAGGUCAUCUAAUCAUCGAGAAAGAAACUGAUGAGAACAAAACGCCAUCAGUGUGUUAAUGGAGCAACGGAGAGAGGAAGAUUUCAUUUCCAAGAUUCUCUGAAGCCAGGAGAACCAUAUCACAUCUCUUGAAUCCCAUUGCACUACAACUGGUGCAUCACUUCACUGCAAACACGGUGCUGAAGCAGGAUCAAGCUCCCAGCAGCCUCUCAAAACCCCUCCUUUUUCCCCAGUAAGCUGAAAUGCAGGAAUCUGAUGAGAAAAUCUCCCAAACUCAUCUUUCGGUAUUUCUAAAAUAGCAGGAUUUGAUCUUUGUAUUCUUGGAGACCUAAAGACUGACUUGAAACCAUUCACACGCACCAUGGAUGAAACUUUUAUCCGGUCUUUUGAAUUCUCAAUGACCUCCACUAUCUCAUACGCAGACGUGUCUGGAUGCAAACUUAAUUUUUUCCAGUUCUUGUACAGUGCCCAAAUAUCGCCAUCUCUUGGAUAGAUCUCAAAUCUGUUCCUAUUAAUAGAUACUGCUUUCACCACAUGGGAGAAUGAACUAGGAUCAUAGACUUGACACUUUUCACUCUGGACUUUGAAUGUUCCACAAACAACCUGAGCAUUUUUAGUUCCUGCACACGCCUCAAGAAGGACUACGUGUAAUUUGAAUGGGGCAGGUACAAUCUUCUUAAUCUGAGCAUAAGUCCUUGGCAUAUUAUUUCGACCAUAAAGAGCCCAUACUUGAUCUACUUGAAACUUCCCCGUGGAUAUAUCCAUCCUAAAAUCACAAAAAGCUUCUUCAGAACCUUUUUCAUCGGGAAAAGUUAUUGGAUUCUUGGAGCUUCCAGAGGAGUUGCUGAGAUCAAAUCUCUUUGUGCAUGAAUGCAACUCUUCAUCAAUGUCAUGACUGGGUAUGCUGGGACUUGAGUGACGGUCUCUUUUAACACAAUUAUCAUCAAAACAAGUGGAAGAACCGUCAUUGGCAGAAUGAGAGCUCAUCUUACUUUGUUUUUCCUCGGAUAGGUUCACUCCUCUAGGAGAUCUUCGAACCUUAGCAGAUUCUCCAUUAGUAGUAUGAAUGCUAUUCAACUCCACAGACUUCAGAGAUAUCGUCACAUUCUCAGACAUUCUAGACUUAUCUCUUGUUCCAGAUGCAACUGCAGGUGAAACAUUUUCUACAGGUUGAGAAUUUGCACCCUUACUGCCUUCCAUAACCUUUU